rnacentral:rRNA from 1 species
AUUGAACGCUGGCGGCAGGCCUAACACAUGCAAGUCGAACGGCAGCACAGAAGAGCUUGCUCGUUGGGUGGCGAGUGGCGGACGGGUGAGGAAUGUCUGGGAAACUGCCCGAUGGAGGGGGAUAACUACUGGAAACGGUAGCUAAUACCGCAUAACGUCGCGAGACCAAAGGGGGGGACCUUCGGGCCUCACACCAUAGGAUGUGCCAAGAUGGGAUUAGCUAUGAGGUGGGGUAAUGGCUCACCUAGGCGACGAUCCCUGGCUGGUCUGAGAGAAUGACCAGCAACACUGGAACUGAGACACGGUCCAGACUCCUACGGGAGGCAGCAGUGGGGAAUAUUGCACAAUGGGCGCAAGCCUGAUGCAGCCAUGCCGCGUGUAUGAAGAAGGCCUUCGGGUUGUAAAGUACUUUCAGCGGGGAGGAAGGCGGUGAGGUUAAUAACCUCGCCGAUUGACGUUACCCGCAGAAGAAGCACCGGCUAACUCCGUGCCAGCAGCCGCCGCAG